rnacentral:tRNA from 1 species
CGGGAUGUGGCGUAGUCUGGUAGCGCACCUGCUUUGGGAGCAGGAAGUCAUAGGUUCGAAUCCUGUCAUUCCGA